GCCAUAUGAUGAUAAGUAGCCACCAGAUUCUGUCUUUGAAAUUCAAACCAGAGUUUUACCAUUGUCUGUAAUCUUGGUUGCUGUGGAGAGUUUCCACACUGACUGUAAGGCCAGACAUACAUUGUUCUGCUGAUUCUUUUUUUCAUCCUCUUAAGAGACCUUAAAGGAUGAUAUAUAAUCAACAUACAGCCUAAGGCAAUUUUUUUUUUUUCAGUUUCUAAAUCUCAAAGAUGGCAUGAAGUCUCUUUAGUAAUCUGAUGGCA